rnacentral:rRNA from 4 species
UACGGGGGGGGCAAGCGUUGUUCGGAAUUACUGGGCGUAAAGGGCGCGUAGGCGGUUGGAUAAGUCAGCUGUGAAAACCACGGGCUUAACUCGUGGCCUGCAGUUGAGACUGUCUGGCUUGAGUGUGGGAGAGGAGAGUGGAAUUCCUGGUGUAGCGGUGAAAUGCGUAGAUAUCAGGAGGAACACCGGUGGCGAAGGCGGCUCUCUGGACCACAACUGACGCUGAGGCGCGAAAGCUAGGGGAGCAAACAGG